CUGAACCACUUUCCAGUCAGUUCCUCUCAGAUCAAAAGAGGGAAACAAACAUGACACUUUGGCUUCAAUUUGUGUUUCUUUCAGCAGCUUUGGGAGGUGUCCAAUCAGCAGUCCAGCUGGUAGAGUCUGGAGGGGAUGUCAAAAGGCCUGGACAGUCCCUCCGCCUCUCCUGUCGAGCCUCCGGGUUCAGCUUCAGCACCUAUGCCAUGGAGUGGGUGCGACAGAGUCCUGGAAAGGGACUGGAAUGGAUUGCAGUAAUAUGGUAUGAUGGUAGCCAACAAUAUUAUGCGGACUCAGUAAAAGGGCGCUUCACCAUCUCCAGACACAACCCUUCAAACAUGCUGUAUCUACAAAUGAACAGCUUGAAAUCAGAGGACUCAGCUGUUUAUUACUGUGGAAGAGACACAGCGAAAGGAAGUGAAUCUGAAGCCAGACAAAAACCUUCCUUUGCCAGCUGGACUGCCAGUCUGAACUGUAUCAUCUGCAACCUCAAAAUACUAUAUGAAGAAGUUUGGAAAAGGAAGAUAAAUUUGACACAAAUGAGGCAUGUCUAUUGUUCAAAAUGGAAUGCUCAGACAAAGCCUAGGCUAAAUUCAGACACCACUUUAUUCUAUUUCUCCAACAAUUCAUUUCCUACUAAGUUCCACUUCUUAUGUGAUCUUUUCAUACAAUGUAAAAUUCAUUUCUGGUAA